CACUCACAUACCUCUCGGGUAGAGUGAGCGGAGGCUCCGAUGCCUUUCAGGGGUCCGAGUGAGACCGCCUCUCCUGAGGCUUGGUGCAGGGCCUCACGCAGCUCUUCGGGGGUGAGGCGUUAAGUUGGGCGUCAACACAAGGCAAAGGCAAAGGCUCCGGGCAGGCACGGACGCUGACAGGUGGGACACCAGAAACCGCUCUGGCCAGCACAUCACGCUACGGCAGGACUUGCUUGUACACCGGUUUUUAAAAUACGCACGAGCCAUUGUUCUGCUUAGAAGUCACUAUUGAAUACAGUGGCAAAAUAAAACGACCCCUCGGAAAGAGGAUUCCUCGUAGGUAACUCUCAGGAUUCCGAGGACGCUGACGGCACCCCGUCUCAGCUAACGAUGACGUGCUGCCCCAGCCGCGCCGACUGCCGGACGCCUGCCGUAGAUGAGGGGCUGUCGCAGUGUCACCGGGGACCAGGGCUUGGCCUCCUUUGGCACAGGCUGACCGAGGGGAAGGACUGCACCUGCCCUUGAAAGACAGGUGUUCUUGCUGUCUCCACUGAGUGUGAACAAGGCCCCACUUGGCUUAGGCGUUGCCUUUGAUGAGGGAGGGGCCCGGUGAAUGGAGGCCGACAGCAGAAUAGAAGCACGAGGACUGUAGUGGACCAGGGCUGGCCUGCAGUGACCACUCCCGGGUACCAGCGGGCCGGGGCUGGCCUGCACUGACCA